rnacentral:rRNA from 1 species
GACAGAGGGUGCAAACGUUGUUCGGAAUUACUGGGCGUAAAGCGCAUGUAGGCGGCCAAGCAGGUCGGAUGUGAAAUCCCUCGGCUCAACCAAGGAAGUGCAUUCGAAACCGCAUGGCUCGAGUCCCGGAGAGGAUGGUGGAAUUCUCGGUGUAGAGGUGAAAUUCGUAGAUAUCGAGAGGAACACCGGCGGCGAAGGCGGCCAUCUGGACGAGGACUGACGCUGAGAUGCGAAAGCGUGGGGAGCAAACAGG